CAAUAGCGUAUAUUAAAGUUGUUGCGGUUAAAAAGCUCGUAGUUGGAUUUCUGCUGAGGACGACCGGUCCGCCCUUCGGGUGAGUAUCUGGUUUGGCCUUGGCAUCUUCUUGGUGAACGUAUCUGCACUUGACUGUGUGGUGCGGUACCCAGGACUUUUACUUUGAGGAAAUUAGAGUGUUUCAAGCAGGCAUACGCCUUGAAUACAUUAGCAUGGAAUAAUAAGAUAGGACCUCGGUUCUAUUUUGUUGGUUUCUAGAGCUGAGGUAAUGAUUAAUAGGGAUAGUUGGGGGCAUUCGUAUUUAACUGUCAGAGGUGAAAUCCUUGGAUUUGUUAAAGACGGACUACUGCGAAAGCAUUUGCCAAGGAUGUUUUCAUUGA
rnacentral:rRNA from 1 species